GUUAAUAUAGUCUAAACAAGACAUUAGAUUGUGAUUCUAAUAAUAGAAGUUAAACUCUUCUUAUUGACC
rnacentral:tRNA from 8 species